AUUGAACGCUGGCGGCAGGCCUAACACAUGCAAGUCGAGCGAGCGGCGGACGGGUGAGUAAUGUCUGGGAAACUGCCUGAUGGAGGGGGGUAACUACUGGAAACGGUAGCUAAUACCGCAUACCAUCAGAUGUGCCCCGAUGGGAUUAGCUGGUCUGUGGGGUAACGGCUCACCUGGGCGACGGUCCCUAGCUGGUCUGAGAGGAUGACCAGACACACUGGAGCGGAGACACGGUCCAGACGCCUACGGGAGGCAGCAGUGGUGAAUAUUGCACAAUGGGCGCAAGCCUGAUGCAGCCAUGCCGCGUGUGUGAAGAAGGCCGUCGGGUUGGAAGGCACUGUCGGCGGGGAGGCGUUACCCGCAGAAGAAGCACCGGCUAACUCCGUGCAAGCAGCCGCGGUAAUAC
rnacentral:rRNA from 1 species